UCCAUAUGAGUGAAAAAUUCUCGAUAGGGAUGUUAGAUAAUCAGUCCAACGAACAAAAAGCAAACAAAACCCCCUUCCCUGAACCAAUUACAUGUAGGGCAAGGGAAAUAACCACAAUAAACUGAUAAGCUGCGACUAUUUGCUGAGUCAGUGAUGAAUGUUUAAAAUGUGUAAUUUUCAAUUAAUAAAUGUAACAUUUUUAUUUUAUUCAAGUAAUGUAGGGUAUGUAAUGUGAUAAAAGCAUCGCAUGGUAAUCAAAAUACCUUCAGGCGAAGCGAAAGGUGUGAGUGAAAUCAGGCACCUAUAUACUAUAAAGGUCCCUGAUGUAAUAUGUAAUAUUUAGGUCCCUGUCGAAACGUUUUGUUUACAUGACAUUUGGGACACAGGCAUAAAGUAGCCAUGUUUUCUAUAGCAUAUAAUUAUAAUUAUUUCGGCAAAAGGUCGGGGGCUCAUCUUCAUCUUUCCUACGGCCAUAAAAAAAGAAAAUUACAAGUAAUACAGUAUAAAUUUAAAAGAAAAUUACGUAUGAACAAUUUCUAAAACGAGGUAAAUUAUUGAUAAACAACUUGAUGAAAAAAGAAUAUCAACAGUCUUGUUUAAAGUCAUCAUUUCGUAACUUCUAUGGUCGAUACAAUGACCUUGUCAGCAAAUAUAAUUUAUCAUUGAGUCAAAUGCUGACUGACGUUUAUCAUACUCAUUGUUAGUCCAUUAUUUAUACACUGAAUUGACGACAUAUUUUCCCGUUAUUUCCCGUUCAUGACAAGGAGCACACGGCGGGUGUGACCGGUCGGCAGGGGAUGCUCAUCCUCAAUGGCACCUGAUCCAACCCCUGAUGUUUUUGAGGUCCGUGUUUGCUCUGCACCUAUUUUGUACUGUUCUUUGGACUUUGAAAUUGAAUGCUGUUCGUUAUCUUUAUAUCCUCCAUACACUAAUUUAGACAUUAAUUUUGUUAGGGAUCACUACCGAUACAGAAUGUAUGAAAUUAAUUUUAUUUAUAAAGUAGAUAUAUCACUUCCAUUCUCAAUGACAAUUUUAUUUCCUACGAAUUUCCUCGAAAAAUGAAGCAUAUAAAAAGGGGGAUGAAGUGAAAACUGCACGAACUCUUGUCUUAGCAAGGAAGUGUACCUUGUGUGCUAAGCAGAGAAUAAAUUUAAUAAUACAUUAGAAUGAUGAGGACCUGGUUAUUUGUAAUAUCUAUCCUCUUCGAUGGCUUUGUUUCUCAGGUUUGUACCGAAGAUGAGGGUGGGAUAAUCCAGAGUUUGGAGAAAAAUUUGAUGUCUGGAUCAACA